CAUCUCAACCAGGUGCGGUCGCGGCCUCCGGGGGUUCUCUCCCGGGUGGUAAGGGUAACACCUUCACGCGCCGCAUUUCUGAACCCUUUUUAUACGAGCACCUUCGUUCUCCUUCGGUGGGGCAACCUGCCGUUGGAACCAAACAAAACCUUUUUUGCAUCUAGCAUUACCUGUUCUGAUACAAAUAAUCGUUACAACUUUUAACAAUGGAUCUCUUGGCUCU
rnacentral:misc_RNA from 1 species